rnacentral:tRNA from 1 species
GCCUUCGUGGUGUAGUGGUCAGCACGCUCGACGCGUAACCGAGAGGUCCGUGGUUCGAUUCCAGGCGAGGGCA